rnacentral:rRNA from 1 species
ACUACUACAUGCAAGUCGAACGCUUUUUCUUUCCCGGCGCUUGCUCCACCGAAAGAAAAAGAGUGGCGAACGGGUGAGUAACACGUGGGUAACCUGCCCAUCAGAAGGGGAUAACACUUGGAAACAGGUGCUAAUACCGUAUAACACUAUUUUCCGCAUGGAAGAAAGUUGAAAGGCGCUUUUGCGUCACUGAUGGAUGGACCCGCGGUGCAUUAGCUAGUUGGUGAGGUAACGGCUCACCAAGGCAACGAUGCAUAGCCGACCUGAGAGGGUGAUCGGCCACACUGGGACUGAGACACGGCCCAGACUCCUACGGGAGGCAGCAGUAGGGAAUCUUCGGCAAUGGACGAAAGUCUGACCGAGCAACGCCGCGUGAGUGAAGAAGGUUUUCGGAUCGUAAAACUCUGUUGUUAGAGAAGAACAAGGAUGAGAGUAAAAUGUUCAUCCCUUGACGGUAUCUAACCAGAAAGCCACGGCUAACUACGUGCCAGCAGCCGCGGUAAUACGUAGGUGGCAAGCGUUGUCCGGAUUUAUUGGGCGUAAAGCGAGCGCAGGCGGUUUCUUAAGUCUGAUGUGAAAGCCCCCGGCUCAACCGGGGAGGGUCAUUGGAAACUGGGAGACUUGAGUGCAGAAAGAGGAGAGUGGAAAUUCCAUGUGUAGCGGUGAAAUGCGUAGAAUAUAUGGAGGAACACCAGUGGCGAAGGCGGCUCUCUGGUCUGUAACUGACGCUGAGGCUCGAAAGCGUGGGGAGCGAACAGGAUUAGAUACCCUGGUAGUCCACGCCGUAAACGAUGAGUGCUAAGUGUUGGAAGG